rnacentral:rRNA from 1 species
AAACUCAAAGGAAUUGACGGGGGCCCGCACAAGCAGCGGAGCGUGUGGUUUAAUUCGUUGCUACACGAAGACCUUACCUGGGUUUGACAUAUAGGUUGUAGGGAACUGAAAAGGGACCGACCCUUCGGGAGCCUAUACAGGUGUUGCAUGGCUGUCGUCAGCUCGUGUCGUGAGAUGUUCGGUUAAGUCCGCUAACGAGCGCAACCCUCGUCGUAUGUUAUAUGUGUCAUACGAGACUGCCGGUAAAAGCCGGAGGAAGGUGAGGAUGAUGUCAAGUCAGCAUGACCUUUAUAUCCAGGGCUACACACACGCUACAAUGGUCUGUACAAUGGGUAGCCAAGCCGCGAGGCGGAGCCAAUCCUGAAAGCAGGCCUCAGUUCAGAUUGCAGUCUGCAACUCGACUGCAUGAAGCCGGAGUUGCUAGUAACCGCAGGUCAGCAAUACUGCGGUGAAUACGUUCCCGGGUCUU